rnacentral:rRNA from 1 species
GAUGAACGCUGGCGGCGUGCCUAAUACAUGCAAGUCGAGCGAACAGACGAGGAGCUUGCUCCUCUGACGUUAGCGGCGGACGGGUGAGUAACACGUGGAUAACCUACCUAUAAGACUGGGAUAACUUCGGGAAACCGGAGCUAAUACCGGAUAAUAUAUUGAACCGCAUGGUUCAAUAGUGAAAGACGGUUUUGCUGUCACUUAUAGAUUGAUCCGCGCCGCAUUAGCUAGUUGGUAAGGUAACGGCUUACCAAGGCGACGAUGCGUAGCCGACCUGAGAGGGUGAUCGGCCACUCUGGAACUGAGACACGGUCCAGACUCCUACGGGAGGCAGCAGUAGGGAAUCUUCCGCAAUGGGCGAAAGCCUGACGGAGCAACGCCGCGUGAGUGAUGAAGGUCUUCGGAUCGUAAAACGCUGUUAUUAGGGAAGAACAAAUGUGUAAGUAACUAUGCACGUCUUGACGGUACCUAAUCAGAAAGCCACGGCUAACUACGUG